UCGGGGGUCGUCUAAUGGUAGGACAGAGGCCUUUGAAGCCUUGAAUCGGGGUUCGACUCCCUGCCCCCGAA
rnacentral:tRNA from 1 species